GUACACUGUAAAAUGUAAUAUUGUGUUUAAUUAAAAAUAUUAAAUAGGCUGAACUCAUUUUUUAUCAAUUUGUUAUUAGAACUCAAUUUAAAUAAGUUACCAGUACUUUUUAUGCAAAAACGCUGAUAAACUCCAUUUAUUUGAGUUGUCUUAACUUAGAAAAACUAAGUAAGCUGGAAGUUUUGCUUCUCAGGGCGGAAGGAUGAAAGAUGUGUUUUGAAAAUGCCACGUGACUGCCGUUCUGCUCCCUCCCGGAUCAGUCCGCAUGUUCAUGGUGCCAGCAUUUGUUAUGGAAUAUAUUGAGCAAACCUGGAGAUAUUAUUGUUGUCAUUGCUGUGGAUCUUUACUGACUUGGUGAGUAAAUGUUUACUCUUAUUCAAACUGAUUUUGUGGCUUCUCUUAGUUUAGCACCAGGUUUAUAAUCUUGCUAGCUAGUUAGUGUUAGCCUAGCGUUGCUGCUGCCGCUGGGCUCAUCUUACUUAAAAAUUAACACCACAGCCUUAAAAACCUUACAUAAAACUAUGUCGGUGAAAUUUUCUGUUGAUUGUUUGAAAUAAAUAAGUGAGAUAAGAGCCCAGACAAAAUUCUUCGGGAGGUGCAGCCGUUAAGGGUGGGGUAGGUAGGGGUGGGGUGGAUAACAGAGCUCUCGAAAGCGUGGAAGCACUUUUGCAAAUAUGUGAUAUUUUGAUAAAUUAAGUAGAUAUUUGAGCAUUACAUAGCUACAUUCUAGCCUGAAAAUAUCUUAAAAGGUUAUUUUGUGACCCAGAAAGGGUAGUCUGCGGAAAAGGAGGAUCGCAUUUGUCGGCCACGGUUGUUGGAGCCUGUGUACUUGUAAGCGCGGCAAUGGCGGAGGAGCGCGGCUAAAAAACUUAUUACUUUUUCUGGGUCACAAAAUAAACUUUUAAGAUAUUUUCAGGCGAGAAUGUAGCUGUGUAAAUUUCAAAUAUCUGCUCGAUUUAUCAAGACAUCACAUAUUUGCAAAAAUGCUCCGACGUUUUCAGAGACGUCCAUUUCUUGUUCAUGCUCUUUGGCAGCUUUUGAACAUCUGUGGCAUCUAUUAAUGUCAAAUCUAGCCUUUAUUUAACAACAUAAGCAAACUCUAUGUUACGAUGAUUGCACAAUCAUUAAGGAUCAAAUCAAUGUUCUGUUUUUUCUCCCUCUGCUUGCUUCUUACUGUCUUUGAGGCCGAUCGGGACCAGCACUCCUGUUGUUGGACAGAAAGACAUCAACUCAGUGACUUGAGAUAUGACUGCACGAUGCUGUUGCUGGUGACCACAGUUAACUCUACAAGACAUGCUGUGACACCAGGAGAGAUGAGUCCUCCAUCACAGAUGGUCAGUGAAGAUGGUCGCCUGCAAGUUCAAGCUCAUUGCAUCUCCAACCCACAUCCACUGCCACUGUACUUAAGGGAAGUUAAAGACUUUCUUCUGCACCUACAUUUGGAUCACCUCGAUCCAUGACAGUCAUUCAGGCAGUAAUGCCUGGACUGGAAACAAGCCGUCCUUAAAAUAAUACAACAUUCCAGCUCAUGUGUUGGAAUGGAAAACAAAUGUGUUGUUUAAAUUAGAGACUGCACUUGUGACAGAACAACAAAUAUUUUAUUUUGAUUAUAUAAGUAAUGUAAGUACAAAACAAACUUGUGGUAGGCCUAAACUUAUUUUCAGAAUAAUUACAUCUGAGACUUUGUUUCAUUGUAAGAUUAUAACAGCGAUGGCAA
ensembl:lncRNA